rnacentral:rRNA from 1 species
CCUCCUUUCUGCCGCCGUGAGGAAUAUUGGUCAAUGGGCGGGAGCCUGAACCAGCCAAGUCGCGUGAGGGAAGACGGUCCUACGGAUUGUAAACCUCUUUUGCCGGGGAGCAACGGGGUCCUUGCGAGGGCCCGAUGAGAGUACCCGGAGAAAAAGCAUCGGCUAACUCCGUGCCAGCAGCCGCGGUAAGACGGAGGAUGCGAGCUUUAUACGGAUUUAUUGGGUUUAAAGGGUGCGUAGGCGGGCUGUUAAGUCAGCGGUCAAAUGUCGGGGCUCAACCCCGGCCUGCCGUUGAAACUGGCGGCGUCGAGUGGGCGAGAAGUAUGCGGAAUGCGUGGUGUAGCGGUGAAAUGCAUAGAUAGCACGAAGAACUCCGAUUGCGAAGGCAGCAUACCGGCGCCCGACUGACGCUGAGGCACGAAAGCGUGGGUAUCGAACAGGAUUAGAUACCCUGGUAGUC